rnacentral:rRNA from 1 species
AACGAACGCUGGCGGCAUGCCUAACACAUGCGAGUCGAACGAGACCUUCGGGUCUAGUGGCGCACGGGUGCGUAACGCGUGGGAACCUGCCCUUAGGUUCGGAAUAACUCCCCGAAAGGGGUGCUAAUACCGGAUAAUGUCUUCGGACCAAAGAUUUAUCGCCUUUGGAUGGGCCCGCGUUGGAUUAGCUAGUUGGUAGGGUAAAAGCCUACCAAGGCGACGAUCCAUAGCUGGUCUGAGAGGAUGAUCAGCCACACUGGGACUGAGACACGGCCCAGACUCCUACGGGAGGCAGCAGUGGGGAAUAUUGGACAAUGAGCGAAAGCCUGAUCCAGCAAUGCCGCGUGAGUGAUGAAGGCCUUAGGGUUGUAAAGCUCUUUUACCCGGGAUGAUAAUGACAGUACCGGGAGAAUAAGCUCCGGCUAACUCCGU